rnacentral:rRNA from 1 species
UCCAGAGCCAUAUCUACUUGCAGAUCUCAUCUGGUUUCCUACUGAGGCUAAGCAGGGUUGAGCCUGGCCAGUACCUGGAUAGGAGACAUCCUGGGGAAAACUAAGGUUGCAGCUAAAG